rnacentral:rRNA from 1 species
ACGCACGCUGGCGGCCUGCCUAACACAUGCCAGUCGAACGAGACCUUCGGGUCUAGUGGCGCACGGGUGCGUAACGCGUGGGAACCUGCCCUUAGGUUCGGAAUAACUCCCCGAAAGGGGUGCUAAUACCGGAUAAUGUCUUCGGACCAAAGAUUUAUCGCCUUUGGAUGGGCCCGCGUUGGAUUAGCUAGUUGGUAGGGUAAAAGCCUACCAAGGCGACGAUCCAUAGCUGGUCUGAGAGGAUGAUCAGCCACACUGGGACUGAGACACGGCCCAGACUCCUACGGGAGGCAGCAGUGGGGAAUAUUGGACAAUGGGCGAAAGCCUGAUCCAGCAAUGCCGCGUGAGUGAUGAAGGCCUUAGGGUUGUAAAGCUCUUUUACCCGGGAUGAUAAUGACAGUACCGGGAGAAUAAGCUCCGGCUAACUCCGUG